rnacentral:ncRNA from 1 species
CCGUCGGUGAAAGUCCGACCCGGCCAACUCGCGCUCCGGCCGGAAGCACAAGGGGCGGCUCAGGAGGUAACGAAUGAGCUGAAGCACUGCUUGAAAAGGCUUCGAUAGGAAGCCAGCUGGCCAUGCGGGCCGCAACGCGA